rnacentral:rRNA from 1 species
UAGGGAAUCUUCGGCAAUGGACGAAAGUCUGACCGAGCAACGCCGCGUGAGUGAAGAAGGUUUUCGGAUCGUAAAACUCUGUUGGUAGAGAAGAACGCUGGUGAGAGUGGAAAGCUCAUCAAGUGACGGUAACUACCCAGAAAGGGACGGCUAACUACGUGCCAC